CUCAGAAGGAAACUACACAUCGUGAAUUGAAAACAAUCUUUGCUGACUGGAGGACUCUGGGCUCUUCCAUGCCGUCUUUGCUACAAAACCACUCUGCAUUUCCAGAAAGUGACUUGCUCCAAGCCCCCCUAGAUGUGCCUGGUACUUUAUGAAGCACGUAAAUUCUGCCUACCCAAGUCACUGACACUCUAAGUGAAGGAUACAACAGAGGGAGGAGAGAAGAACAUGAGGAAGCUCCAAGAGUUUGUUCAGCCAGCUCGAAACAGGACGCAGUAUGUGAACCAGUGCUUUCUCACCACACACCUGACAAGGCUAUUCCAGGUCUCACACAUCCACAGGACUGACUCAGCCUGCACAUCUGGAGUGGCACAAAGCUGAUGGAGUGGAUGGCCCUUAGUCUCCAUGCAUUUAUGCCAUCAAACACAGAAGUCAGGGAAAGGGGAACACAUUUGUGUCUGACUACUGUUCGCUGUGUGCUUUUCUCAGUGUUUUAUAUUCUGCAAAUGAAGGGUUAAUGAGUUCUAAAAAUAUAUGCAUGUGGGUUAAACAGAUCUAUCUAUCUAUCUAUCUAUCUAUCUAUCUAUCUAUCUAUCUAUCUAUCUAUCUAUCUAUCCCAUGUCCAUCAUCAUGGUAUCUGAAGCUACCUGAGCUGUUGUUUUUCUGUUGGCUAGAGAUGCCAGGGAACCUGCUGAAGGUGAUACCUUAUUGCAAGCUGUGCUACUCAGCUCCUGUCUGUUUAAUUAGCCAGAGUCUGGUUCUCUCUGCAUGUCCCUGAUUUUUCAAUAAAUGGCAAG